AUUGAACGCUGGCGGCAGGCCUAACACAUGCAAGUCGAACGAGUGGCGGACGGGUGAGUAAUGUCUGGGAAACUGCCUGAGGGAGGGGGAUAACUACUGGAAACGGUAGCUAAUACCGCAUACCAUCGGAUGUGCCCAGAUGGGAGUAGCGAGUUGGUGGGGUAAAGGCUCACCAAGGCGACGAUCCCUAGCUGGUCUGAGAGGAUGACGAGCCACACUGUGACGGAGAAACGGCCCAGACGCCUACGGGAGGCAGCAGGGGGGAAUAGUGAAAAAUGGGCGCAAGCCGUAUGCAGCCAUGCCGCGUGUAGGAAGAAGGCCCGAGGUGUGUAAAGUACUUGCAGUCGGGAGGCGUGACCGACAGAAGAAGCAACGGAUAACUCCGUGCCAGACGCCGCGGUAAUAC
rnacentral:rRNA from 1 species